GACGAACGCUGGCGGCGUGCUUAACACAUGCAAGUCGAACGGAAAGGCCCUGCUUUUGUGGGGUGCUCGAGUGGCGAACGGGUGAGUAACACGUGAGUAACCUGCCCUUGACUUUGGGAUAACUUCAGGAAACUGGGGCUAAUACCGGAUAGGAGCUCCUGCUGCAUGGUGGGGGUUGGAAAGUUUCGGCGGUUGGGGAUGGACUCGCGGCUUAUCAGCUUGUUGGUGGGGUAGUGGCUUACCAAGGCUUUGACGGGUAGCCGGCCUGAGAGGGUGGCCGGCCUCAUUGGGACUGAGAUACGGCCCAGACUGCUACGGGAGGCAGCAGUGGGAAGUAUUGCACAGUGGGCGGGAGCCUGAUGCGACGGCGCCGCGUGCGGGAUGACGGCCUUCGGGUUGUGAACCGCUUUCGCCUGUGACGAAGCGUGAGUGACGGUAAUGAAUAAAGAAGCACCGGCUAACUACGUG
rnacentral:rRNA from 1 species